GUAGCUAUUGACAUGGGAGCUAUGUCAGCAGUCGUAGAAUCGGACUCUGCAAUAGUAAUCUCAGCUCUCAAAAAUCCUUCUUAGGAAGUUGACUUGGAAAUCCAAGCUUCGAUCCUUUCAAUCCGAGCUCUAGCCACGUCCUUUAUCUCUGUCCCAGGUGAAACAAACGGCUAACAAAGUGGCAGAUAGCUUAGCUAAGUUGCAUAUGCAAGACAGGCUUCUUUUUAGAAGUAAAAUUGAAA
rnacentral:misc_RNA from 1 species